CCAAAAGGUAAAGCUUUCAACCCCCACAUGAAACUGGCAAAAACCCUACCAGAAAACCAGAACUCUCAAAUUCAAGGCAAAUUAUGUUUCUUUCCCUCUAAAUUAAAAGCAAAGUAAAGAGAAUGAAAAUGGAAAAAACGAGAAGAAAAAAAAAAAAGAGGGAGGGAGAUGUGGAAUAUAAGAUCAGAAGUGUGGAUCAUCACCUUGCGACCAUACUUGAGGACAGAAAAAAAAAAUUAACAAUUUUGCCUCCAAAAAAUAAAGCUUUCACCCUACAUGAAACUGACAAAAACCCUACUAGAAAAACCAGAACUCUCAGCUUCAAGGCAAAUUAAUUUCUUUCCCUCUGAAUUAAAAGCAAAGUAAAGAGAACAGAAAUGGGAAAAAAGAGAGAAGAGAAAGGGAGAUGUGGAGCAUAAGAUCAGAAGUGGGGAUCAUCACCUUGCAGCCGAACUUGAGGAAGACACCCAGAGGAGGCAAGAUGAUGGCGAGGAGGAUGUCUAUGCAGUUCAUCGUGCCCUCGUCCGCCAUUUUCUGCUCUUCUUUCCUUCUGCAGAAACCCCUCUUGAACGAGCUUUGAAGAAGAUGGGCUGGAA